AUUGAACGCCGGCGGCAGGCUUAACACAUGCAAGUCGAGCGGGGUGAUGGUGCUUGCACUAUCACUUAGCGGCGGACGGGUGAGUAAUGCUUAGGAAUCUGCCUAUUAGUGGGGGACAACAUCUCGAAAGGGAUGCUAAUACCGCAUACGUCCUACGGGAGAAAGCAGGGGAUCACUCGUGACCUUGCGCUAAUAGAUGAGCCUAAGUCGGAUUAGCUAGUUGGUGGUGUAAAGGCCUACCAAGGCGACGAUCUGUAGCGGGUCUGAGAGGAUGAUCCGCCACACUGGGACUGAGACACGGCCCAGACUCCUACGGGAGGCAGCAGUGGGGAAUAUUGGACAAUGGGGGGAACCCUGAUCCAGCCAUGCCGCGUGUGUGAAGAAGGCCUUAUGGUUGUAAAGCACUUUAAGCGAGGAGGAGGCUCUUUCGGUUAAUACCCAAGAUGAGUGGACGUUACUCGCAGAAUAAGCACCGGCUAACUCUGUGCCAGCCGCCGCCGUAA
rnacentral:rRNA from 1 species